rnacentral:rRNA from 1 species
CAGUCGCCGCGGGAAAACAGAGGGUGCGAGCGUUAAUCGGAAUUACUGGGCGUAAAGCGCGCGUAGGUGGUUUGUUAAGUUGGAUGUGAAAGCCCCGGGCUCAACCUGGGAACUGCAUCCAAAACUGGCAAGCUAGAGUACGGUAGAGGGUGGUGGAAUUUCCUGUGUAGCGGUGAAAUGCGUAGAUAUAGGAAGGAACACCAGUGGCGAAGGCGACCACCUGGACUGAUACUGACACUGAGGUGCGAAAGCGUGGGGAGCAAACAGGAUUAGAUACCCCAGUAGUCCCUGUCUCUUAUAC